rnacentral:rRNA from 1 species
GACGAACGCUGGCGGCGUGCUUAACACAUGCAAGUCGAGCGAUGAAGUUCCUUCGGGAAUGGAUUAGCGGCGGACGGGUGAGUAACACGUGGGUAACCUGCCUCAUAGAGGGGAAUAGCCUUUCGAAAGGAAGAUUAAUACCGCAUAAGAUUGUAGUUUCGCAUGAAACAGCAAUUAAAGGAGUAAUCCGCUAUGAGAUGGACCCGCGUCGCAUUAGCUAGUUGGUGAGGUAACGGCUCACCAAGGCGACGAUGCGUAGCCGACCUGAGAGGGUGAUCGGCCACAUUGAGACUGAGACACGGCCCAGACGCCUACGGGAGGCAGCAGUGGGGAAUAUUGCACAAUGGGGGAAACCCUGAUGCAGCAACGCCGCGUGAGUGAUGACGGUCUUCGGAUUGUAAAACUCUGUCUUCAGGGACGAUAAUGACGGUACCUGAGGAGGAAGCCACGGCUAACUACGUGCCAGCCGCCGCGGUAA